rnacentral:rRNA from 1 species
AUGUUGCGGUGAAUACGUUCCCGGGUCUUGUACUCACCGCCCGUCACACCAUGGGAGUUGUGUUUGCCUUAAGUCAGGAUGCUAAAUUAGCUACUGCCCACGGCACACACAGCGACUGGGGUGAAGUCGUAACAAGGUAACCGUAGGUGAACCUGCGGUUGGAUCACCUCCUUUCUAGAG